UACGGGGGGGCAAGCGUUGUUCGGAAUUACUGGGCGUAAAGGGCUUGUAGGUGGCCAACUAAGUCAGACGUGAAAUCCCUCGGCUUAACCGGGGAACUGCGUCUGAUACUGGAUGGCUCGAGUUUGGGAGAGGGAUGCGGAAUUCCAGGUGUAGCGGUGAAAUGCGUAGAUAUCUGGAGGAACACCGGUGGCGAAGGCGGCAUCCUGGACCAACACUGACACUGAAAAGCGAAAGCCAGGGAGCAAACGGG
rnacentral:rRNA from 1 species